UGAUUGGGAAUUUAACCAGAACAUUGACAUAUCCUGCAGAAUGUGGGAUUUUUCAGAGAAAAGUUAACAUGAUAUACAAGUAACCUCAGAUUUAUCAGGUUUUAAGAAAAUAUUAAAACCCAACAGGUGAUUACAUUGCUCUAACACACAAAAGCUUUUAAAUCUUGAGGUUAAAUAUUCCAUGAAGGAGAUGAGUUAUUUCCUAAGCAUGCUCACUGAUCUUUAUUGCUUAUGCAGGAUGCUGAUAAGAAACCUUAGAUAACUUAUUGCAAAACUCUUACAUUCCUAACAUAAAGGUCUGUGCAUGAUGGAAGACUAAUAGAUGAAGACAAAAGUGGAGUAAGAUUAUUUUAUUUUCAAUCAUUAGUGCAAGUGUUAUAAAGGAUGUAUUUUGCAAGGCCCUGGGACAUACUUUCACUCUUGUUCAUGGAUUCAUAGGACCAGACUCUCAGCUGGCAUAAAUUGGUGUGGCUCCACUGAAAUCAAUGAAGCUGUGCAGAUUAAUACCAGUUGAGGAGUUGGUCCAUAGAUUUUAAGGCCAGAAGGGUCCAUUAUGAUAAUCUAAUCUUACCUAUUGCAUAAAAUAGGGCAUAGAAUUUUAUCUAGUGAUUUUUGCAUCUAGCACAAGAAAUUGUGGUUAAACUAGGGUGUAUAUUUUGUAAAGAUGAUUUAGUCUUAAUUUAACAAAUCCACAUAUUGAAGAAUUUACCUUAUCCCUUAGUAAUCUAUCCCAAUGCUUAAUGAUCUUCAAUGUUAAAAAUUUACACCUUAUCUCUAGUUUGAACUUUGCUGACUUCAGCUUCCACUGUUGGACCUUGUUAUGCCUAUGUGUGUUAGAUUAAGGAGCCCUUUAAUAUCUGAUAUCUUCUCUCUUUGCAAGUUGUGAACAAGUUCACUCUUACCCUUCCCUUCGCUAAACUAAAUAGAUUAAUCUCUUUUUAAAUAAAUUAGUCUCUGACUGUAAGUGUGUUUUCAAGACUGCGAAAAUUUCUCAGCUCUUUUUUGAUCCUUCUCCAAUUUGUGAACAUCGUUUUAAAAAUGUGGACAUUAUCCUUGAACACAAUAUUCCAUUAGUGGUCUCAUGAAUGCCAUAUACAAAAAUAAUUGGAGUCCCAGAGUUUAAGGCCAGAAGGAUCACCAGAUCAUAUAGUCUGAUCUCCUGUAUAUCAUAGACCACUAACAUCGCCAAGCACCCACACACAUACUAAACCCAACAAGCCCAUCUUCCACUCCUGCUUGAUAUUCCCCUGUCUAUACAUCAAGGGAUCAUGUUAGGUCUUUUUUCCACGGCAUCAUCCUGGGAACUGAUGUUCAUCUGUUUAUCAAAGUCCUUUUUGGAGGCACUGCUUUCCAGGAUGCAGUCCCCCCCUUUUGCAGUGGUGAUUUUAGAUGAUACCUCAUUCCUCAGGGUAACAAAGGCACUGAGAGCACAGCCGUUGCUGGAGUCCUGAAGCCAUUCAGGCCUGUAUGCUGCUAGCCUGUUUACUACAGUAGAGCCUGCAGAGGAAGAAAUAAGGCUGUCAUCCUUAGAAACUUUCAGAAGAGGAUUGCAGAGUACCUCCAUGAAAGUUUCAUUGAGAUCUCUCAGGAGGAUUCAAAGGACAUCCCUGGGUACAUAAACAAAUUGCUCCACAUUCCAGGCUCCAGCCUAACUCUAAGGGAAUGAAAAGCAGGUGUGAGUGUGGCCUUUACAUAACAAAGCAGCCGAGAGUCAGCCAAAAUGUCAGGAAGGACAGAGUGCCAGCAGGAACAUCCCAGGAUGGGAGGCAGGAGGAGUGCUGUUCUGGGAAAGAAUCACCUGAGAAGGACAAACUGAAGCCAGACCCAGUAUUGCCAUUGCCCAGAACUAUACGGGUCUGUGAGUACUGGGGCUUGUGACUUUGCACUGGGAACUAAGGAGGGAGGUUGUAGCUAGUUAAGUGAGGUUGUUGCACUGUGUAGGUUUGCAGAGAAUGGCAGAAGAGGGCACUAGAAGGGUUUGUUUGGUAAAAUUUAUGGGUGCCAAAGACCAUCAGGAGCACCCAAGAGUCACUGCUGAACUGGAACUCUGCCAAGGAUUCCUGAGCUCUGAAUCUAGAUGUAUUGCUCAGUGUCUAUCCUUUUAUAUGAGGGUAACAUUGGGUUUGUGGGUCCUUGUGUUGGAUGUAACCCUGCUUUACUGCUCCCCCUCUCUCUUCCCUCUGUUUUCCACCAUUCAUCCCUCUGUCAAUAAAUAUUUCCUUUGUCUGUAUUCACUGUACUAAUCCAGUGUGUGUAUGUAUUUAGUCAGUGGGGUUAGGUACAGGUGCUCCUGGGAUAGAAGGGAGAUUCUCUACUGUGUUCCUGCAUGUGUCUUUUCUUGGCCAGAGUUGCCCUGUAGAGCGGACUCCAUCUUGGCCAUGAAGGUAGGGUGGCCAGAUGUCCAGUUUUUGACCGGAAAGUCUGGUUGAAAAGGGGACCUGACAGUGUCCAGUCAGAUCAAUUGACCAUGCCAGACACCCUAAGACAGUUACUGCGAGCAGGGGAGGUGCCGGGUCAUCACCUGCUCCAGCCCCUGCUCAGCUAGAGCUGCCUCCUAUCUUCAUCGGGCGGCUGCAGCUCCCAGCCCCUGCUCCGCAGAUAGGUCCCUCCUGAUCCGGGUGGGAGGGGAAAAGCA